rnacentral:rRNA from 1 species
UAGGGAAUCUUCCACAAUGGACGAAAGUCUGGCGGAGCAACACCGCGUGAGUGAAGAAGGGUUUCGGCUCGUAAAGCUCUGUUGUUAAAGAAGAACACGUAUGAGAGUAACUGUUCAUACGUUGACGGUAUUUAACCAGAAAGUCACGGCUAACUACGUGCCUAG